rnacentral:misc_RNA from 1 species
GUUACAUACAGGCGACCCAAAAAUACGUCAAGCGGAUGAGAGAUGGUUCUUUGUGAAAAGAUAAGAGAGAAGUAUACAGUAAAAUUUGUUCGUUCGGGGCUUUGUUUUCGAAAAAAUCAAGUUUGAAAAUUCAUCAGGUAUAAUUGAACGUGACAAAUUCCGGCCUGGAUAGAACUAAAUAAUCGACAGGAGGUCAUUCUAUGUGUGAAAAGAGCGAAGGAUUCGUGGCUUUAUCGUUAAAGUGUUUACCAAGAACUGUUCCCCGAACCGUUCCGACUAAACCUGCAGUCAUCGAGAUCUCAACUAUAGCACCUUCGUAGCUUGGCAAACUUCCACGACGAACGAAUAUCAACGAACAGUCAUAGGGUCGAUUUAAAAAUAGGAUGGUGGCUCGUCCUUAGAGCCCACGUUACUUAAAUACAGGUUUUCGCACAAGAAAUCACGCUUCGGG